rnacentral:misc_RNA from 1 species
CCCUUGCCCACAUCAUCCUUCCCAAAUCAAUGAUCUGCUUACACAUAAAACCCAACACAGCCCUGUCAACAGCUUUCAUGUUUCUCACAGCGUCUUCAAUCCCAUUUGCAUGCAUCCCCUCCAUACUGUUCCUGUUCCAUAGAUUGAAGAUGUAAUCUGCCGUCAACAGAGAGAUCUGAUCCAUGGUCAGCAUCUACUGCCCAGCUAGUAAACCACGUUAUUGCAUGGAAUUCUUCCUUUGUGAUCCCUAAAUCGACUAUGAAUUUUUUAUUUGCAUAAUGCUUCCACUGGCAAAGAUGAU